rnacentral:rRNA from 1 species
UUCCUGAGAGGUGAUGCGUAGCCGUAGCGGCGAAAUCCAUGAUCCUAUGCUGCCGAGAAAAGCCUCUAGCGAGCUGGUACAUGGCCCGUACCCCAAACCGACACAGGUGGUCAGGUAGAGAACACUAAGGCGAUCGAGAGAACUGUGGUUAAGGAACUCGGCAAAAUGCCCCCGUAACUUCGGGAGAAGGGGGACCAGUCCUGGUGACGACAUUUACUGUCUGAGCUGGGGUUGGUCGCAGAGACCAGAGAGAAGCGACUGUUUACUAAAAACACAGGUCCGUGCGAAGUCGUAAGACGAUGUAUACGGACUGACGCCUGCCCGGUGCUGGAAGGUUAAGAGGACCGGUCAGCCACUUCGGUGGCGAAGCUGAGAAUUUAAGCCCCAGUAAACGGCGGUGGUAACUAUAACCAUCCUAAGGUAGCGAAAUUCCUUGUCGGGUAAGUUCCGACCUGCACGAAUGGCGUAACGACUUCUCUGCUGUCUCAACCACAGACUCGGCGAAAUUGCAGUACGAGUAAAGAUGCUCGUUACGCGCGGCAGGACGAAAAGACCCCGGGACCUUCACUAUAGCUUGGUAUUGGUGUUCGGUUCGGUUUGUGUAGGAUAGGUGGGAGACUGUGAAACUCGCACGCCAGUGUGGGUGGAGUCAUUGUUGAAAUACCACUCUGACCGUAUUGGACAUCUAACCUCGGACCAUGAUCUGGUUCAGGGACAGUGCCUGGUGGGUAGUUUAACUGGGGCGGUUGCCUCCUAAAAAGUAACGGAGGCGCCCAAAGGUUCCCUCAGCCUGGUUGGCAAUCAGGUGUUGAGUGUAAGUGCACAAGGGAGCUUGACUGUGAGACGUACAUGUCGAGCAGGGACGAAAGUCGGGACUAGUGAUCCGGCACCGGCAAGUGGAAGCGGUGUCGCUCAACGGAUAAAAGGUACCCCGGGGAUAACAGGCUGAUCUUCCCCAAGAGUCCAUAUCGACGGGAUGGUUUGGCACCUCGAUGUCGGCUCGUCGCAUCCUGGGGCUGGAGUAGGUCCCAAGGGUUGGGCUGUUCGCCCAUUAAAGCGGCACGCGAGCUGGGUUUAGAACGUCGUGAGACAGUUCGGUCUCUAUCCGCCGCGCGCGUAAGAAACUUGAGGAAACCUGUCCCUAGUACGAGAGGACCGGGACGGACGAACCUCUGGUGUGCCAGUUGUUCCACCAGGAGCACCGCUGGUUAGCUACGUUCGGAAGGGAUAACCGCUGAAAGCAUCUAAGCGGGAAGCCUGUUCCAAGAUGAGGUUUCUCACCACCUAGCGUGGUUAAGGCCCCCCACAGACCAUGGGGUUGAUAGGCCAGAACUGUAAGCACAGCAAUGUGUUCAGGUGACUGGUACUAAUCGGCCGAGGACUUACC